AAGAAUUCAUUUUUGAUGUGUGUGCAAUAGAAUGAAACUCAUAGUCCAUUACAAAUAGUCGCUGCUUUGACAGCUUUUGAAAUAUUGACGUAGUUAUACGCCGUCCGUGUCCGCAUAUUUUAGCAUUUUUAUAUGAAUCCAUCACACUUUGAUUGUUCCACAAAGAUUGUACACAAAGUUAUUUCCAAAAUAAACUCAGUUUCCUUUUUGAAUAUUCAUUUUUUAUACAAAGUAUCUGCACAGUUUAUGAUGGCUAGUAGGGAGGUUCAUUCUAUUUGUAUUAUUUAUAUCACGCUUAUAGUGAUAUCUUUCAAUGGAAAAUGUUUUUCGAAUAAUCCACCAGACAAAAAGUUACCGGACAACCUCCCACCCAUAGUUAGUAAAACUAGGCAGAACGAAGGGGUCGCUUUGUGGAGAUUAAAGAUAAGCAAGAGAAGCCUGGAAAAUGAAGAAACAUUCGAACAAGUUGACGAAGACAUCAUUUUGUUUCAAUGAAGUUUCUCUCAAGAUGAAGAUGUAAGAAGUACUAAACACGCGAAAUCUUGUCAAAACCCCUCAAUUUCAUCUUUGUGUAAUAAAUUACAUUUGGUGUAUAAAUCAGUUCAACUUUUCAAACUUUAAUGUAUUCGCCUAACUAACUAACCUAUUUAAAUUUAUUACUGAAAUUUCAUAAUCCUAUUUGAGGGAAAAUGAAUGUGAAAACAUUUCAAAGUACUAAUGUUUGUAAUCAAAAUGGGCAAAUAUAUUUCGACAUAAUGGCUGCAGUGUUAUGAUUUUGUUGUCUGCGCUUGCUCGUGACUGGCAUUUAGCAAAGGCAU